GAUGAAGAACGCAGCGAAAUGGGAUAAGUAAUGUGAAUUGCAGAAUUCAGUGAAUCAUCGAAUCUUUGAACGCACAUUGCGCCCGCCAGUAUUCUGGCGGGCAUGCCUGUUCGAGCGUCAUUUCAACCAUCAAGCCCCAGGCUUGUGUUGGAGCCCUGCGGCUGCCACAGCCUCCCAAAACCAGUGGCGGGCUCGCUAUCACACCGAGUGCAGUAGUUUACUCUUCGCUCAGGGCGUGUGGCGGGUGCUAGCCGUAAAACCCCCAACUUCUCAAGGUUGACCUCGGAUCAGGAAGGAAUACCCGCUGAACUUAAGCAUAUCAAUAAGCGGAGAA
rnacentral:misc_RNA from 1 species